rnacentral:rRNA from 1 species
AUUGAACGCUGGCGGCAGGCCUAACACAUGCAAGUCGAGCGGAGCGGCGGACGGGUGGGUGAUUCCUAGGAAUCUGCCUGGUCGUGGGGGAUACCGUCCGGAAACGGGCGCUAAUCCCGCACCCUAUCAGGUGAGCCUAGGGCGGAUUAGCUAGUUGGUGGGGUAGAGGGCUACCAAGGCGACGAUCCGUAACCGGUCUGAGAGGAUGAUCAGUCACACUGGAACUGGGACACGGUCCAGACUCCUAAGGUAGGCAGCAGGGGGGAAUAUUGGGAAAUGGGCGAAAGCCUGAUCCAGCGAUGCCGCGUGUGUGAAGAAGGGAUUCGGAUUGUAAAGCACUUAAAGUUGGGAGGCGGUACCAACAGAAUAAGCACCGGCUAACUUCGUGCCAGCAGCCGCGGUAAUAC